rnacentral:rRNA from 1 species
CCAGUUCGGAUUGCAGGCUGCAACCCGCCUGCAUGAAGUUGGAAUCGCUAGUAAUCGCGGAUCAGCAUGCCGCGGUGAAUACGUUCCCGGGCCUUGUACACACCGCCCGUCACACCAUGAGAGUCGGGAACACCCGAAGUCCGUAGCCUAACCGCGAAGGGGGGCGCGGCCGAAGGUGGGUUCGAUAAUUGGGGUGAAGUCGUAACAAGGUAGC